CCUACGGGAGGCAGCAGUGAGGAAUAUUGGUCAAUGGGCGCGAGCCUGAACCAGCCAAGUAGCGUGAAGGAUGACUGCCCUACGGGUUGUACACUUCUUUUAUAAAGGAAUAAAGUGAGGCAAGUGUGCCUUUUUGUAUGUACUUUAUGAAUAAGGAUCGGCGAACUCCGUGCCAGCAGCCGCGGUAAUACGGAGGAUCCGUGCGUUAUCCGGAUUUAUUGGGUUUAAAGGGAGCGUAGAUGGGUUGUUAAGUCAGUUGUGAAAGUUUGGGGCUCAACCGUAAAAUUGCAAUUGAUACUGGCAGUCUUGAGUGCAGUAGAGGUAGGCGGAAUUCGUGGUGUAGCGGUGAAAUGCUUAGAUAUCACGAAGAACUCCGAUUGCGAAGGCAGAUUACUAAACUGCCACUGACAUUGAUGCUCGAAAGUGUGGGGAUCAAACAGGAUUAGAUACCCUUGUAGUC
rnacentral:rRNA from 1 species